rnacentral:rRNA from 1 species
GCGCACCAGGCGAGAACCUUCGCAAUGCGGGAAACCGCGACGAGGGACUCCCAGUGCCUACGCUCAGCGUAGGCUGUUCCCGAGCCUAGAAAGCUCGGGGAGUAAGGGCUGGGUAAGACGGGUGCCAGCCGCCGCGGUAAUACCCGCAGCCCGAGUGGUGGCCACUAUUAUUGGGCCUAAAGCGUCCGUAGCCGGCCCGGUAAAUGCCUGGGUAAAUCGUGAGGCCUAACCUCACGAAUUCCGGGUAGACUGCCGGGCUAGGGACCGGAGGAGGGAGAGGGUACUCCAGGGGUAGGGGUGAAAUCCUGUAAUCCCUGGAGGACCACCGGUGGCGAAGGCGCUCUCCUAGGGCGGGUCCGACGGUGAGGGACGAAAGCCAGGGGAGCGAACCGGAUUAGAUACCCGUGUAGU